CAGCAGCCGCGGGAAUACGAAGGGUGCAAGCGUUACUCGGAAUUACUGGGCGUAAAGCGUGCGUAGGUGGUGGUUUAAGUCCGUUGUGAAAGCCCUGGGCUCAACCUGGGAAUUGCAGUGGAUACUGGGUCACUAGAGUGUGGUAGAGGAUAGUGGAAUUUCCGGUGUAGCAGUGAAAUGCGUAGAGAUCGGAAGGAACAUCUGUGGCGAGGGCGACUAUCUGGGCCAACACUGACACUGAGGCACGAAAGCGUGGGGAGCAAACAGGAUUAGAUACCCCCGUAGUCCCUGUCUCUUAUAC
rnacentral:rRNA from 1 species